GACGAACGCUGGCGGCGUGCUUAGCACAUGCAAGUCGAACGGAAAGGCCCUGCUUUUGUGGGGUGCUCGAGUGGCGAACGGGUGAGUAACACGUGAGUAACCUGCCCUUGACUUUGGGAUAACUUCAGGAAACUGGGGCUAAUACCGGAUAGGAGCUCCUGCUGCAUGGUGGGGGUGGGAAAGUUUCGGCGGUUGGGGAUGGACUCGCGGCUUAUCAGCUUGUUGGUGGGGUAGUGGCUUACCAAGGCUUUGACGGGUAGCCGGCCUGAGAGGGUGACCGGCCACAUUGGGACUGAGAUACGGCCCAGACUCCUACGGGAGGCAGCAGUGGGGAAUAUUGCACAAUGGGCGGAAGCCUGAUGCAGCAACGCCGCGUGCGGGAUGACGGCCUUCGGGUUGUAAACCGCUUUCGCCUGUGACGAAGCGUGAGUGACGGUAAUGGGUAAAGAAGCACCGGCUAACUACGUG
rnacentral:rRNA from 1 species